GACGAACGCUGGCGGCGUGCCUAAUACAUGCAAGUCGAACGCUUCUUUCCUCCCGUGUGCUUGCACACAAUAGGAACGAGGGGUUGCGGACGGGUUAGUAACACUUCGGUAACCUCCCCAUCAGCGUGGGAUAACACUUGGAAACAGGUGCUAAUACCGCAUAACAGUUUAUGCCGUAUUGCAUAACAGUGUAAGGCGCUUUCGGGUAUGGCUCCUGGCUGCAUCCGCGGUGCAUUAGCUAGUUGGUAAGGUAACGGCUCACCAAGGCCACGAUGCAUAGCCGACCUGAGAGGGUGAUCGGCCACACUGGGACUGAGACACGGCCCAGACUCCUACGGGAGGCAGCAGUAGGGAAUCUUCGGCAAUGGACGAAAGUCUGACGGAGCAACGCCGCGUGAGUGAAGAAGGUUUUCGGAUCGUAAAACUCUGUUAUUAGGGAAGAACAAGGACGUUAGUAACUGAGCGUCCCCUGACGGUAUCUAACCAGAAAGCCACGGCUAACUACGUG
rnacentral:rRNA from 1 species